rnacentral:rRNA from 1 species
GAUGAACGCUGGCGGCGUGCUUAACACAUGCAAGUCGAACGAUAAAGCCCAGCUUGCUGGGUGGAUUAGUGGCGAACGGGUGAGUAACACGUGAGUAACCUGCCCUUGACUCUGGGAUAAGCCCGGGAAACUGGGUCUAAUACCGGAUAGGAGCGCCUGUCGCAUGACGGGUGUUGGAAAGAUUUUUCGGUCAUGGAUGGACUCGCGGCCUAUCAGCUUGUUGGUGAGGUAAUGGCUCACCAAGGCGACGACGGGUAGCCGGCCUGAGAGGGUGACCGGCCACACUGGGACUGAGACACGGCCCAGACUCCUACGGGAGGCAGCAGUGGGGAAUAUUGCACAAUGGGCGGAAGCCUGAUGCAGCGACGCCGCGUGAGGGAUGACGGCCUUCGGGUUGUAAACCUUCUUUUCAGUAAGGGAAAG